CAACUCUAGCUUCUCCGACGUCGGCGGAAUUCUGCAUCAACAGAAUUGGCGCUAGAGGAAGGGUCUUUUGUCUUCGCAGUACCCUUGUUCUUAAAGGAGUGCUCAACGGGACUGUCUUCGAUCACCUUCUUCGAUAUCUACUUCUCCUUCUCCUGCCAGAUCUCUACCUGAUGCCUCCUCGAAAGGCAUCCACCAGGCGAUCCACGAUCUCCGCGGUC
rnacentral:lncRNA from 1 species